rnacentral:rRNA from 1 species
ACAUGCAAACUCCACACCCUGCAGCCGAAGACCGGUUACUCACUGAAGCUAAGCAGGGCUGAGCCUGGUUAGUACCUGGAUGGGAGACCACUAGUGAACACUAGGUUGCUGUUG